CUAAAGCCCCUCGCUUACACCGAGACUAUAUCUGUUUAACCCAGGUCAUUUUGAGCCUAAAAUCUAGCUCACCACAUACCCCCUAAAUAUUAACUUAAACCACAUACCUUAUCAAAUAAAACAUUUUUACAUUAUAGUACAGGAGAUCAAAAAAUUACUAAACGCUUCAGAUAAAGUACCGCAAGGGAAUGAUGAAAUAAAAAUGAAAUAACUUUAAAGCCCAAAAUAGUAGAGACACCCCCUCGUACCUUUUGUAUCAUGGUCUAGCUAGUCUAAUCAAGCAAAAAGAAACUUUAAGUUUGACAUCCCGAAACUAAGCGAGCUACUUCAAGACAGCCUAUAGGGCCAACCCGUCUCUGUUGCAAAAGAGUGGGGAGAUCUUUAAGUAGAAGUGAUAUGCCUACCGAGCUUAGAGAUAGCUGGUUGCUCAGAAAAAGAGUUUUAGCUCUACCUUAAGUUUCUGUAUUAUAUUAAACAAGCCCUUAAACUUAAGAGCUAUUCAAAUAAGGCACAGCUUAUUUGAUAUAGGAUACAACCUCAUAUAUUGGGUAAACAAGAGGCUACUAAAUGAAGUAGGCCUAGAAGCAGCCACCUUUUAAAUAGCGUUACAGCUUAAUUAUCACCCACCUCAAAAUUCCAUAAACCAUAAACAACCCUUCACCCCCACUGAGCAAUUUUAUAUUGUUAUAAAAAUAAUUAUGCUAGAACUAGUAACAAGAAACUGCCCUUCUCCAAAAUGCAAGCAUACACCAAAACGGACAAUACAUUGGUAAUUAACGUAAAUGCACACAACAUAACAACCCUACUAGAAAAUCUUAUGUCCCCCAACGUUAAUCUUACACUAGAGCAUUACCGGAAAGAUUAAAAGAAAAAGAAGGAACUCGGCAAAUCUUAGCCCCGCCUGUUUACCAAAAACAUCGCCUCUUGCCUCCUAUAAGAGGUCCAGCCUGCCCGGUGACAAAGUUUAACGGCCGCGGUACCCUGACCGUGCGAAGGUAGCAUAAUCACUUGUUCUUUAAAUAGGGACUUGUAUCAACGGCAUCACGAGGGCUGUACUGUCUCCUUUUUCUAAUCAGUGAAACUGAUCCCCCCGUGAAGAAGCGGGGAUACAUCUAUAAGACGAGAAGACCCCAUGGAGCUUUAAGUCCAGUAUUUAACCCGUCUAUAUUUCCUCUAAACUAUUAAGGUCCUAGAUAUCCACUUUAGGUUGGGGGGACCGCGGAGUAUAAUCUAACCUCCACGACUAAUGGGCCCCGCCCUUAUCUGCGAAUUACAACUCUAAGAAUCAACAAACUGAUGUUUUAUGACCCGAAAAUUCGAUCAACGAACCAAGUUACCCUGGGGAUAACAGCGCAAUCCACUUUAAGAGUCCUUAUCGACAAGUGGGUUUACGACCUCGAUGUUGGAUCAGGGUAUCCCAGUGGUGCAGUCGCUAC
rnacentral:rRNA from 1 species